rnacentral:rRNA from 1 species
GACGAACGCUGGCGGCGUGCCUAAUACAUGCAAGUUGAGCGCUGAAGGUUGGUACUUGUACCAACUGGAUGAGCAGCGAACGGGUGAGUAACGCGUGGGGAAUCUGCCUUUGAGCGGGGGACAACAUUUGGAAACGAAUGCUAAUACCGCAUAAAAACUUUAAACACAAGUUUUAAGUUUGAAAGAUGCAAUUGCAUCACUCAAAGAUGAUCCCGCGUUGUAUUAGCUAGUUGGUGAGGUAAAGGCUCACCAAGGCGAUGAUACAUAGCCGACCUGAGAGGGUGAUCGGCCACAUUGGGACUGAGACACGGCCCAAACUCCUACGGGAGGCAGCAGUAGGGAAUCUUCGGCAAUGGACGAAAGUCUGACCGAGCAACGCCGCGUUAGUGAAGAAGGUUUUCGGAUCGUAAAACUCUGUUGGUAGAGAAGAACGUUGGUGAGAGUGGAAAGCUCAUCAAGUGACGGUAACUACCCAGAAAGGGACGGCUAACUACGUG